rnacentral:ncRNA from 2 species
GGAGCAAUUUCUGGAGAGUCCGCAUUUAGCGGCGCCGAAGGGUUCACAAUCUCAGGCAAAAGGACAGGAACUAGUAA